rnacentral:ncRNA from 2 species
GCCCUUAUGACGCCGUCAGGUGCCCGCGCAAGCGGGAGAAUCGGGAAUCCGGUGUCAUUCCGGAACGUGCCCAACGCUGUGACGGGGACGGUCGCCUCUACAAGUGCCUUGAAUUGAUUCAAGGUUUUGCCACUGGAUCUUAAAUCGAUCUGGGAAGGUGAGGCGACCGGUUGAACCGAAGUCAGAAGACCGGCCUGGCGAGAUAGACCGAA